rnacentral:rRNA from 1 species
CGUAGGGUGCGAGCGUUAAUCGGAAUUACUGGGCGUAAAGCGUGCGCAGGCGGUUCGCCAAGUCAGGUGUGAAAUCCCCGGGCUUAACCUGGGAAUUGCGCUUGAAACUAGCGGGCUUGAGUGCGGCAGAGGGGGGUGGAAUUCCACGUGUAGCAGUGAAAUGCGUAGAGAUGUGGAGGAACACCGAUGGCGAAGGCAGCCCCCUGGGUCGACACUGACGCUCAUGCACGAAAGCGUGGGGAGCAAACAGGAUUAGAUACCCUGGUAGUCCACGCCCUAAACGAUGUCGACUAGGUGUUGGGGAAGGAGACUUCCUUAGUACCGCAGCUAACGCGUGAAGUCGACCGCCUGGGGAGUACGGUCGCAAGAUUA